ACCAGCUGUGCGGCCGGGGCGAUGCCUGGGGCUGCUUCAAGGAUGCAGGCAUCCGCGGCUGGACCACCUUCUUCGCGCACCGGCAGGUAUCCGCCUGCCGGUGCGUUU
rnacentral:sRNA from 2 species